CCGGCUGAAUCAAUUUUAUGAAAGCUCAAAUUGAAAUCGGAUCAAGUUUUUUUGAUUCAAGCCUUUCUCAAAUUAACACCAAACCAAUCUUUUUUUUUUUUUGAAAGAUAUAAACUGAAAUGAAGAGACCAGUUCAAGUUUGGUUCGCAGUAUGGCCAGUUUUUUGCACACCUCUAGUUGGUUCAAUGGCCUUACGUGAUAGC
rnacentral:lncRNA from 1 species